UUCGAGAAUGGUGGGUCCCUGUCUCGGUCUGAGAAAUGGUGGGUCCCUGUCUCAGUCUGGCUUAUCUGGAGCUGAGGCGUACAGUGACUGUUGUUAUCUGC